UACGAGGGGGACAAGCGUUGUUCGGAAUUAUUGGGCGUAAAGGGUGCGUAGGCGGUUUGGUAAGUCUUAUGUGAAAUCUACAGGCUCAACUUGUAGUCUGCAUGAGAAACUGCCGGGCUUGAGUAUGGGAGAGGUGAGUGGAAUUCCUGGUGUAGCGGUGAAAUGCGUAGAUAUCAGGAGGAACACCUGUGGCGAAAGCGGCUCACUGGACCAUACUGACGCUGAUGCACGAAAGCUAGGGGAGCAAACAGG
rnacentral:rRNA from 1 species